GGACGAAGUCUGACCGAGCACGCCGCGUUGAGUGAAGAAGGUUUUCGGAUCGUAAAACUCUGUUGGUAGAGAAGAACGCUUGGUGAGAGUGGAAAGCUCAUCAAGUGACGGUAACUACCCAGAAAGGGACGGCUAACUACGUGCCAGCAGCCGCGG
rnacentral:rRNA from 1 species